GGCUCAGGAUGAACGCUGGCGGCGUGCUUAAUACAUGCAAGUCGAACGGUACUCGUAAGAGUAUAGUGGCGAACGGGUGAGUAACGCGUUGGUGACCUGCCUCAAAGAGAGGGAUAACAGUUCGAAAGAACUGCUAAUACCGCAUGUGUUUCCGGUAGUUAGAGAGCCGGAAAGAAAGGCCGAAAGGCGCUUUGAGAGGGACCUGCGUCCCAUCAGCUAGUUGGUGAGGUAACGGCCCACCAAGGCGAUGACGGGUAGGGGACCUGAGAGGGUGGCCCCCCACAAUGGAACUGAAACACGGUCCAUACACCUACGGGUGGCAGCAGUAGGGAAUAUUGGUUAAUGGGCGAAAGCCUGACCCAGCAACGCCGCGUGAGUGAUGAAGGCCUUCGGGUUGUAAAACUCUUUUUAUGGGGAUGAGGAAGGACAGUACUCAUAGAAUAAGUCUCGGCUAACUACGUGCCAGCAGCCGCGGUAACACGUAGGAGACAAGCGUUAUCCGGAUUUACUGGGUGUAAAGCGCGUGCAGGCGGUUUUGUAAGUUGGAUGUGAAAGCUCCUGGCUUAACUGGGAGAGGUCGUUCAAGACUGCAAGACUAGAGGAUGUCAGAGGAGAGUGGAAUUCCGAGUGUAGCGGAGAAAUGCAUAGAUAUUCGGAAGAACACCAGUGGCGAAGGCGGCUCUCUGGGGCAUAACUGACGCUCAGACGCGAAAGCUAGGGUAGCAAACGGGAUUAGAGACCCCGGUAGUCCUAGCCGUAAACGAUGUGAACUUGGUGUCGGUGGGUUCAAAUCCAUGGGUACCGAAGCAAACGCGAUAAGUUCACCACCUGGGGACUACGGCCGCAGGUUAAAACUUAAAU
rnacentral:rRNA from 1 species